AUACGGAGGGGGCUAGCGUUGUUCGGAAUUACUGGGCGUAAAGCGUACGUAGGCGGACUGAUCAGUUGGGGGUGAAAUCCCAGGGCUUAACCCUGGAACUGCCUUCAAUACUGUCAGUCUUGAGAUUGGAAGAGGUGAGUGGAAUUCCUAGUGUAGAGGUGAAAUCCAUAGAUAUUAGGAGGAACACCAGUGGCGAAGGCGGCUCACUGGUCCAAUACUGACGCUGAGGUACGAAAGCGUGGGGAGCAAACAGGAUUAGAAACCCUAGUAGUCC
rnacentral:rRNA from 1 species